rnacentral:lncRNA from 1 species
CCGGAGCGCUGACACGGGGCCAGGGUGCCAGCCCGCGAGGCAGGAGGAGCCCAGGCUGGUGGCUUUGCUCCAGGGCAGGGAGCUGCGAAAUAACAACCAGCCGAUUCGGGAGACCCGAGCGGGGUUUCCAAGGCCGCCUCCCUUUGCUGUAUCCCAGCCGAGCACGAACAAAUGUUCCUGAUUUUCUUUCCCAGCGGCUGAUGAAACAGCCCGGGAGAGCAGCCUUCUGCAAGAGGGGUCCCUCAAAGGGACAGCCCAGCCACCAUUUGCCCUUCCCGGGGACGGGGAGAGACUGAGGGCUGGACAGGCAGACGGAGAAAGCCUGCCAUGUGCCAGCUGGCAGACAGAUCUGGGGCUCCCAGCAGGAACCGGUCCCCCACAUCACCUUCUGUACCCCAGAACCGCCAUCUGAUGGUUUGCUGUGGGGGACGGGGCAGGGCCGGACAGCCCAGAGAGGGGCCCCCCGGAGGCAGAGCAGGGCGGCCUAGCACCCUAAAAGGUUAGACCCUCCUGACUUUAAGUUCCAAGGCCCCUCAGAAUCUUCCGGGCCAACACCCCGGUUUGACAGACCAGGAAAGCGGAUUCAAGAAGGGAAGUGACUCGCCAAGGCCACACUGACGGACUGGAUCUCCAAUCUGCUGUUUCCUCCCGCCCCAACCUCCUCCCACAAAACCCUGGAGGAGGGGGAAUUUCCUGGAUCAACCCACAGUGUCCUAACCCCAACUCCUGAUGGACUUCUGCUUCUAGAAAGCGGCCUGGAAGUCUCAUCGAGAGACUGCCCUUUCGGCCUGGAGCUGGGAAAAGACGCCCCGACGAUCGGUUGUGUGAAUGGAUUUGGGGACAGUGGGGAAACAAGCAGACGGAGUGUUCACCAUGUGAAAUGUUGCUGAAUCAGAGAUCCUGGAGCUCGCCUGGGAGCAGUCUGAGGCCACACACACACACGAAACGCCAAGUCCAAACAGGGCCAUCAGCAGCCCUCAGGGCCUGGAUCUCCUCUUCUCUUCUGGGCAGGUUGGUGUGGGUGGGGGGCAGAGCAGAGGGGUCCCACACAGGAGCUGCCAGCCCUCUGGGGGCCCCGUGCCCACACCCAGGUUCCAAGGGCCGGGCUGUUCCGGGCAGGCUUCCCUCCGCACAAAAACAAGAGUCACUCAAAACAAAACAAAACAAAAAACUCCUUUUGUUUUCUGGCCCCGUGGAAUGUGUUGAAGACAUAUCCAGAGACACGAGUUCCUCCACCCUUUCCUCUCCCCUCCUCCUCUUCUAUUCAAAAUAAAAAUCCUGCCGGCCUUUCUUUACGGCAACUUUUGUCCAGGAGCAUUCUGAUAGCAUCCAACAAAAACAUUUGGUGGGCUGCGUUGAAAGCAAGCAGCUCAGCUCUCUUUCAGG